rnacentral:rRNA from 1 species
AGUUGAUUCGGGCUACGGCCCGAUCCUCCCACCCUUUGUGUACCUACCUCUGUUGCUUUGGCGGGCCGCGGUCCUCCGCGGCCGGCCCCCCUCCCCGGGGGGUGGCCAGCGCCCGCCAGAGGACCAUCAAACUCCAGUCAGUAAACGAUGCAGUCUGAAAAACAUUUAAUAAACUAAAACUUUCAACAACGGAUCUCUUGGUUCUGGCAUCGAUGAAGAACGCAGCGAAAUGCGAUAAGUAAUGUGAAUUGCAGAAUUCAGUGAAUCAUCGAAUCUUUGAACGCACAUUGCGCCCUUUGGUAUUCCGAAGGGCAUGCCUGUUCGAGCGUCAUUACAACCCUCAAGCUCUGCUUGGUAUUGGGCACCGUCCUUUGCGGGCGCGCCUCAAAGACCUCGGCGGUGGCGUCUUGCCUCAAGCGUAGUAGAACAUACAUCUCGCUUCGGAGCGCAGGGCGUCGCCCGCCGGACGAACCUUCUGAACUUUUCUCAAGGUUGACCUCGGAUCAGGUAGGGAUACCCGCUGAACUUAAGCAUAU